rnacentral:misc_RNA from 1 species
AAAGUCGUAACAAGGUUUCCGUAGGUGAACCUGCGGAAGGAUCAUUACAGUGUUAGGCUUCGGCCUCAUUCACACCCCUUGUUGAACCUCUGGUUUCUUUGGCGAUGUCAUGGACUCGUCAAACAUCAACUCUGAUAAUGUGGUACUGUCCGAGUGAGAUUGAAUCAUCAAAACUUUCAACAACGGAUCUCUUGGUUCCA